CUUUUUGAUCAUUUUUAGUCUAUACUUAUACACCGAUCUGCGCAUUACACUGGCAGGUGAAGUGCAGAACAUUGAUUGCGUCAUUGCGAUGGCACCUGUGAAAGUGCCAAGGAAAUAUUAAGGCAGCAAAUGAAAAGUCAGUUUUUGGAUUCAGGGGAAGUGGGAGAGCAUAAGGAGCGACUCUGACAAGGGUCAGUGGGUCAGGGCGUCUUCAAACAGGCAGGUCUUUUGGGGUUUUCCCGGUUCGCACUAAAAGUGGUCCAAGGGAGGACAAAUAGAGAACCGGUGACAGGGUCAUGGGCGCCCAAGGCUCAUUGACGCACGUAAAGCGCAAGGCUAACCGUGUGGUCUGAUCCCGCAGAAGAGUUACUGUAGCAUAAAUUGCUGAGAAACGAAUGAGGACUGUAUGUUUGCGUAGCAGCAGACCGGUCACCAGGUAGCGCUAUGGGAAGAAGGCAACUCGGCGGAGGCAGCGUGACGCUGUGGGCGAGGUGCGAACCGCACAGAUUCUUCAGGACGCCUUCGCAGUUCUUGUGGAGUCCAUGCCUUGAAGCGUCAGCUGUUUCCUCGGCACAAGGUCGACACUAGCCAUAGCAGCUUGGGAGCAGGAUGGCCAGUUCUCUGCCCUGGAGGGCUCAGGAAGAAGUGCUGCAGGAGGAGGGGUCGACACCAGCCUGCCCCUGAGUCUCAGCCCAUGGAGACCUGCCUGAGCCCAGCAGAAGCCCAGGACAUUUAUCAGCAGGCCCAGAUGGCCUCUCCCUUCCUGCACUGAAGCCCUGAAGUUGGCAGGUCGCCAAUAGAAAAUUGUGUGUGUGUGUGUGUAACAGGUGGGUUGUCAUGACUAUAUCGCCAUGUGAGCAAUCUGUAUGUUAAUCACGGACAUGAAUGCCAAACCAUGGGACGCUGCUGCUCUGGACAAUUAUUAGUGAAUAUACCAGAGUGAAGUCUGAGCUUCCUCUCCUUGUUGUUGACCUGUGUCCUACUUUCCUCUGAGGUAUGUUUUGUGAAUUCAUUGCAUGUUAGAUUUGUUGCUGCACAAAAUGUUUAUUCAGUUAAUACCUUUAUAGAUUGUUCAGGGGUUUACUGCAUGCUUCUCCAUGGGUGACAACUGAUUGGAGCGCUAUUCUGCAGGAGUUGGCAUCUGUUGCACAUGUGGUGCCAAGGCGCCACAGUGCGAGACACAACCAGGGUACUUUUGAGCAGCUUUUGUUUUGAAUUUUUUUAGUUUUUAUUGAAUGUGGUUUUACACUUUGUAGGAGUAAUGGCCACUGCUGCUUUGCCCAGUGUGUCUCUUAUAUCAAGAAGCCUAUUUAAAUUUCUCUCAUUUACUGUACUGCUCAUGUAGCUAGGGUUGGGCCAAUUCUAUGGUGCAUCAGCAGUAUGUGAAUGGUUUGAUGUACAGGGAGGGACAAUCCUCUUAAUUUUGGUUAUGGUAUUUUUUGUUUUGUUUUUAUUUUUGUUUCUGACUGUGAUGAAUUGAUAUUUGUGGUGUUUAUCGAACAGGUCGGCCCUAGUCUGACCUUGACCAUUUUAUUCCUGUUUAAACCUGUGGGAGAGAAUUGUACUAUACUUAUUUUAACAGUGGGUGCAUAGGUAGUCUCCAAAAGUGGUAUUUUAGCCUUGGUGCUACGUUUUUUUGUAAG